UACGUAGGGUGCAAGCGUUGUCCGGAAUUAUUGGGCGUAAAGGGCUCGUAGGCGGUCCAUCGCGUCGGGAGUGAAAAGCUGGGGCUUAACCCCAGUCCUGCUUCCGAUACGGGUGGACUAGAGGUAGGUAGGGGAGAACGGAAUUCCUGGUGUAGCGGUGAAAUGCGCAGAUAUCAGGAGGAACACCGGUGGCGAAGGCGGUUCUCUGGACCUUACCUGACGCUGAGGAGCGAAAGCAUGGGGAGCAAACAGG
rnacentral:rRNA from 1 species